CAUAAAACAUCUUGUUUUAUUCUUCUUAUCAUGCCAGACACAGAAAACAAGACGUGAUAAACACAAAAGCAAAUAAUUACAGAUCCAUAAUGGAUAAUGCGUUUAGGUUAAAUGCUAACUGUGUGCUAAGUCUUGCUUCCUUUACUCAGACAAUUAGUUUCAAUGAAGUCAGAAAAAGACUACUCAUCUGAGUUUGGAGGAAUUCAGGGUGGAUCUGAAGGGUUAAAAAGCCAGAGACUUACAAAACGAAGUUUCCUUCUUCUGUGGGUUUUUAUGAGAAAAGGAAAAUAAUGUCCUAAUCAAGUCUUCAAACUGAGGCCCAAACACCCCUUCUGCUUCUAUGGAUGGCAGAGAGAUGAAACCAGGAACUGGAGUGCUGAAGGAAGCUGCAUAGAUGGAUUCACCUUCCCGGGCCAUCAGUCCAUCACCUUUCCCCCUUUUGAAGGCCUAACUCCAUUCACAGAGGUCAAGUACAUUAGUACCUUUCACAGGACUAAAUUCAAAUGAUUUUUUAAAAGAGUGAUGGAGCUUCAUGAAUACUAUUUAUGCUUUAUUUGACUUAGUUUAAGCUUUUUAAAUACAAAAUGCUCUCUCCUCAAUAAUUUGGCUGUUAGAGCUGUAUUAGCCCAUUACUAGCCAGGGGAGGGAAGAGACAGACGGGAUUUUGUUCUUUUGACUGAUACCCAAUUUUGCAUGAAGCAUCUUUUCCCCUCAUUAAUACUCAUAGAAAAACACACAGUAAGGGGGCCUGUACAUGAACAACUUAUGCUAGUUGUAUACUUAGUCCAUUUCAAUGGAAGCGAUUCUGAAAAAACUCAUGUGACAGCAGUGCUGUGUAUAUUGUACAACAGCACAUUCAUAGAGGGUAAGUAAAGCUAAAUAACUUAGAGAAUAACAAAAAUAUCAAGUAAUGUUGAAAAAAUUGAAUAAAAAUCCACAAAAAUAGAAGACAACUAAACAAAAAUAAUUUUGAAAUUUUAAAGCAUGUUCAUGACAUUUUUCUUCAUUUUUCAACCAGUUCCAGAAUUUCUACAGAAAGAGUUUUUGCUGCCUGUUGUUCACCAUUACAAGCACUUCCAAAGCAAAAUAAGCAAGUUUCUGCAAGGCCCAGAGGAAGUGGAAAUCUAUAUAAAUGACAUUUCAGUCUGUUGGAAGAUUGAAGAAGAGCAUAACUUAAGGUUAAAGCAAGUUCUGAAGAAAAACAGAUGAUGAUGACAGACUUCAGACACCUCUGGGAAACAAUAUCCUUGGCUGCAAUAUUUUCAUUUGCUAAUUUCAGAUCUUUUCAGACAAUACUUUUUAAAGAAUUAAAGAAAUCUUUGCAUUUGAUCUGCAUCGUUUCCCCCCUUCACUAAACUAAAUAUUUGCCAAUUAAUAAAAAGUGUGUACAGCGGAAAGAACGGUCA
rnacentral:lncRNA from 1 species